GAUGUAACGCCUGGGCGGCGUGCUUAAUACAUGCAAGUCGAGCGAAGGCGCUUUAACGGAAGUUCUUUGGAAGGAAGAUAAAGUGACUGAGCGGCGGACGGGUGAGUAACGCGUGGGUAACCUGCCUUAUACAGGGGGAUAACAGUUAGAAAUGACUGCUAAUACCGCAUAAGCGCACAGGACCGCAUGGUCUGGUGUGAAAAACUCCGGUGGUAUAAGAUGGACCCGCGUCUGAUUAGCUAGUUGGUGGGGUAACGGCCCACCAAGGCAACGAUACAUAGGGGGACUGAGAGGUUAACCCCCCACAUUGGUACUGAGACACGGACCAA
rnacentral:rRNA from 1 species